rnacentral:rRNA from 1 species
AACGCUAGCUACAGGCUUAACACAUGCAAGUCGAGGGGCAGCAUUGGAGUAGCAAUACUUCAGAUGGCGACCGGCGCACGGGUGAGUAACACGUAUCCAACCUGCCGCUUACUCGGGGAUAGCCUUUCGAAAGAAAGAUUAAUACCCGAUGGUAUAAAGAGUUCGCAUGUUCUCUUUAUUAAAGAAUUUCGGUAAGCGAUGGGGAUGCGUUCCAUUAGAUAGUAGGCGGGGUAACGGCCCACCUAGUCGACGAUGGAUAGGGGUUCUGAGAGGAAGGUCCCCCACAUUGGAACUGAGACACGGUCCAAACUCCUACGGGAGGCAGCAGUGAGGAAUAUUGGUCAAUGGGCGCGAGCCUGAACCAGCCAAGUAGCGUGAAGGAUGAAGGUCCUACGGAUUGUAAACUUCUUUUAUAAGGGAAUAAAGUCACCUACGUGUAGGUGUUUGUAUGUACCUUAUGAAUAAGCAUCGGCUAACUCCGUGCCAGCAGCCGCGGUAAUACGGAGGAUGCGAGCGUUAUCCGGAUUUAUUGGGUUUAAAGGGAGCGUAGACGGGUCGUUAAGUCAGCUGUGAAAGUUUGAGGCUCAACCUUAAAAUUGCAGUUGAUACUGGCGUCCUUGAGUACGGUUGAGGCAGGCGGAAUUCGUGGUGUAGCGGUGAAAUGCUUAGAUAUCACGAAGAACUCCGAUUG